UUGCAUGGCUGUCGUCAGCUCGUGUCGUGAGAUGUCGGUUAAGUCCGCUAACGAGCGCAACCCUCGCUGUAUGUUACAUGUGUCAUACAGGACCGCCGGUAUCAAGCCGGAGGAAGGUGGGGGAUGACGUCAAGUCCGCAUGGCCUUUAUGUCCGGGGCUACACACACGCUACAAUGGUCGGUACAAUGGGUUGCUAAGCCGCGAGGUGGAGCCAAUCCCCCAAAGCCGGCCUCAGUUCAGAUUGCAGGCUGCAACUCGCCUGCAUGAAGCUGGAGUUGCUAGUAAACGCGCGUCAGCUAUAGUGCGUUGAAUACGUUCUCGGGCCUU
rnacentral:rRNA from 1 species